UUUUUUUCAGGUUAAAAAGCGGAAAAGACUAAAGGCAUCAGUCCAUUAAAAAAAGAAAUGUCUGGUUCAUCCCAGGUUAAAGAGACGAUGGGACAAAGGACAUCAGUUCACCAACAGAAAGAAAUGUCUGGUUCAUCCCAGGUCAAAGAGCUGACAGAAGGAAACCUAAGAGGACAGUCACCUAUACAAUUCAAAUUGGUCAAAGAGCUGACAGAAGUAAACCUACGAGACGAGGCACCGAUAGAAUUAAAGUUUGU